rnacentral:rRNA from 1 species
AGAGGGGGCAAGCGUUAUUCGGAAUUAUUGGGCGUAAAGGGCGCGUAGGCGGCUUUGCAAGUGACGGGUGAAAUCCCUCGGCUUAACCGAGGAACUGCCUGUCAGACUGCAUGGCUUGAGACCAGGAGAGGUGAGUGGAAUUCCCAGUGUAGCGGUGAAAUGCGUAGAUAUUGGGAGGAACACCAGUGGCGAAGGCGGCUCACUGGACUGGUACUGACGCUGAGGCGCGAAAGCGUGGGGAGCAAACAGGAUUAGAUACCCUGGUAGUCCACGCCGUAAACGAUGAGUGCUUGGUGUAGCGGGUAUCGACCCCUGCUGUGCCGAAGUCAACACAUUAAGCACUCCGCCUGGGGAGUACGGUCGCAAGACUG